AGCUUAAUCAGAGUGGGAACUAGGCAUGACAAUACUAUAGAACUUCUACCCGUUGGUAUCCGCCCGAACUCGUCCAAAUUUUGAUAGGAAAAACUCAAAUUUAUUAAGUUUUAGUUUUCCCCAAUUUUAAAAUACAAAAACGUGCAGAUAAUGGAGACAGAAAAAAAAAGUACUUCUAUAUAUUAUGGAUAUUAAAGUACCGUUUGACCCGG
rnacentral:lncRNA from 1 species